CACAUUGUGCGUGUCUGGGGAUCGAACAAGGCAGAGAACAAGGGUGAAAACCCUUGUUUAUCAAAUUCAAUCAAUUGGGUAGGAGAUUAGAAGAAAAUCAACUGCAUGAACUCAAAUCUACACUCAUCUAAACUCGAUCUUUUAAAGAGGCGCGAAGGAAGAAGGUUCAAGUACUAGGAAAUCGGAAGGCCCGCAAGAUCGAGGUAAAGCCUCAAUUUAAUCGGUUCGGCGACUUGGAACGAGCACCCAUAUGUAAUUCCCCUACAAGCGCUUUCGCUACCUUUUGUAACAAAGUCAUGGUCAAAUGUAUUUUGUUGUAGUUAGUUUCAAAUAUUAGUUAAACUUUGAAGUCUGACUUGUUUGGUCUUUUGAAAUUUCUCUAGAUGUCGGUAGUUAUCUAAAACUAUGUUUUCGAUUUGUAAGUCUUUUGAAAGUGUUGUUAAUUACUUGAAAUUACGUUUGUCAAAACAGGGAUUGUUCAUAUAGCA